AUCCGCUACAUAAUUGUACGUAGUUUACCAGCGGACGCUAAUGGUUACGUCGAGGCAUCCGACAACUUGACCAAUUACUAGUAAUCGUGGAAAUAUUCGCUUUCUGAAGCCUCGUCGACGAAGAGGCACUAGAUUCCCUGCAAACUCGAAAAUUUUCAUGCUACUUUACUUACGGAGCGAAUUAUCGUGGACUUGUCCAUUUCGUACUUUGGUUUGUGUAGAUCUGUGCCGAGUGGAUUAUGGAAGCGUUUAUUUUAGGGAGGAGUGAAAAUCAGCUGUGUUCAACGGUGUUUCUUUUCUUAAGGAAGUUCAAGAUCGCGUAAAUGAAAAUAAUUUAUCGUCUCGAUCGGGAUAUGAAAUACAGCUCCUGCGGAUAUUUGAUUGCAAUUGCUCUUAGUAACCGUAAAAAUGGUGAGCAAAUUGCGACUGGAAUUCAGAAAGUAUUACAGAUAUCGAAAAAAACUGAGAUGUAUUCUUAAAGAGACUCAAAGGACACUGGACGCUAUUGCUGCUGAAAAUUUCUUCCCUGAUGAGAACAUAAAAGAGGUCUUGCUCACCCCUUUUAUCCUGUCCAGGAUUUCUCACAUUCUCGAAGAUCCACCAGCUAUUGUAAUUCUGGGUCAAGAUUCUCGCGCAAAAGCAACAUUGGUGAACACCCUUUUAUCCAGUGCAAUACUGCCGAUAUGCUCGGGUUCUUGGAGAUGGAUAAGAAUCAGCUAUGGAGAAAGAAAUCAUGUCAGUUUGACUUUAAACUUAGAAUACGAGGUGGUUGAAAGGCUGCAAUCUAAUGAAAAAAUUUGGCACACGCUCUCGGUUGAAGAUCUGACCAGAUCUGAAAACGAAGAUUUGAACUGUCCUACUGUACUGGAGGUGAAAGUAGACAAGGCACUGUUAAAAGAUGAUGUACAGAUAUUUGUUACCCCUAAUCAUGGAGCCACAAAGGUGCUUUCUAAUGGGAUAUUGAAAGUUUUACCAGUAUUCUUUUAUGCACUCGGUGACGAACCGUUGUCUGAAGAAAAUUUGGAAGAAUUAAGAGACUUGAAAGAAACGUAUCCGGACUGUCCAGUCCUCUUCGUAUCAUCUACUAAGAACGUUUUAAUCGAUAGUACAGACACAGAGUUAACAGAGUCUGAACAACAUCGUCUACAAGAGCCAACGUAUCAAAAUGGUACAAGUUCAAUUGAAAAUGAUGUCGAAGAUAUCGACAUAGAAAAAAUGAACUUACUUGGGGUAACGUGGCUGAACCAAAUAGCGAGUCUCGGUUUUCUCCGGAUGGAAGAAUCCGUUGAAGUAGAUCAACUGUCCUGGCUGGACGGCAAAGACUAUGGAGGAUCGAGUCACUUCAUCAAUUCUCGCCAGAAAAUUGACCAGGUGUUGGAGUUCACCGAGGGUUGUCUUCAAAACUACCUUGUGACCGUGAGCAAUCUUUUGAAUGAUGUUCACACCACCAGUCUAAGAAAAUUCAUUCUAAGUGCAUUCGACAUGGCGAGAGAACUACAGAUAACACCACGUCGAAUACAAUACGCCCGUCGAAAGGAGAAUGAGCUUUACAACAGUCUUAUGAAACUUGUCAGUGAAAAACAGGAGGAGGUGACCAACCUCAUACAAAAUGUUAUUGACGACAUGAAGACUGAUCUUAAUGAGAAAGAAAGUAAAUACCAUGAGGAGAGUACUACCAGUUUUGAUAGAGGUGACAGGAAUGAGUGGUGCGAUACAGUCAGGGCAGCGACGUUGAAGGUCCAGAGGCUGCUGCUCAGCACUCUGAGCGAAGAAGUAGCCAAGCAGUUAGUAACUUCAUUGGAUUGUAUGCGGGAAACCUUCGUUGGAACUCUGCACAGAUGUUUGUUGAGCUUAGAAAAAAGUUACGACCAAGAUACCAGUCUACUGGCUAGUGACGCUUUAAAGCAGAUACUUUCCGCUGCUUACAACGUAGAGCUGACAGAUAAUUCAACUUCAUUAGUUCAAUCGUUUUUGGAGAGGCUCAGACAGCUGAUGAGGACGCUUCCUCUUCCAUGGUCUUCCAGCCCGGUCCUCGAUGCCUCCUGGAGAAGAAGGGUUGCCAUUGAUAUAUUGAAUUCCUUGAACUCAGCAAGGUUGUCGAGAGCCAUAGCGACUCAAUUCAGGGACAAGGUGAAAUCAUCCCAUGACUCAUUUCAGUCUGCCUUACAAUCCCUGGAAAAUCACUAUUCUGGUAAAUUAGAAAGAACCGAAGAGCAUAGAGUAGCGAUCAGAAGACUUCAUGCCCCGAGACUUGCUAGACUUGCCCUUGAAUCUACUUCUAUGAGCGAUGUGGUGAAGUACGGCAUACCCAGACAGGGGAAAGAGAUCGGAAGAGGUCAAUAUGGUGUUGUAUUCUCCUGCGACAAAUGGGGUGGUGCGCCAGGACCAUGUGCAGUGAAAUCAGUUGUACCACCAGAUGACAAGCACUGGAAUGACCUAGCGAUGGAAUUUUAUUCAACAAGAUCUAUUCCAGAUCACAAACGAAUAGUCAAGCUGCGUGGUUCUGUUGUCGACGAUUCCUAUGGUGGAGGAUGUGGAUUAUCAGCUGCUGUCUUACUCGUAACCGAUCGCCUGAGCAGAGAUCUAUACUGUGGAAUCCGAGCAGGCCUAACUUGGCUCGAAAGAAUUCAGAUAGCCAUAGACGUCGUCGAAGGGAUAAGGUACCUCCAUUCUCAGGGAUUAGUUCAUCGUGAUAUCAAGUUGAAGAACGUGCUGUUGGAUACGGAGAACAGAGCUAAGCUUACGGAUCUUGGAUUCUGUAUACCAGAGGCCAUGAUGUCAGGGAGCAUUGUUGGUACUCCGGUCCACAUGGCCCCAGAACUCUUAUCUGGUCAUUACGACAGCAGCGUUGAUGUUUACGCUUUCGGAGUUCUUUUCUGGUAUAUAUGCGCUGGAAACGUACGUCUUCCUUUUGCCUUUGAGCAAUUCCAUAACAAAAAGCAGCUAUGGACUAAUGUCAGAAAAGGUUUGAGACCUGAACGCUUGGAUCAUUUCGACGCCGAAUGUUGGACGCUGAUGGAGCAGUGUUGGGCUGGAGAGCCGUCUAGAAGACCUUUAUUAGGGGCGAUACUUCCUGUACUAGAAUCGAUUCGACACAGAGCCGAACAAGGCAAGUCUGAAAAAGAACUCGACUUCUUUAAGUCCAGAGAGGGCCGUUCUUCUUCUUCGUUGACAAAAAGUCCGGCACUAUCACUGACAGAGCCUUUUAAUCAAAGAGGAGUUACUGCUGAAACACGUGCCUUAAAAAAGAGACCUCGCAGAUUUGUGAAACACCCAGUACUCCACAUGACUAACUUUUUUCAUGCUAGCACUUGCCCUAACUUGUACAUCCAGAUGCGAGAAUUUUAAGACUAGAUUGUAUGUAAUACUAUAGAUCUAUGUACAUAGCUUUUCUUUGUUGUUCUGUUGUGUUCCUUUUUUUACAACCAUUAUUUUUUGCUUUGAGAUUUCGAGGCUCUCUCAUAUAAUUUAGAAACAAUCAUCAACUAAUUCUUUGGACAUCAGCGAAUUUGACAAUAUUUUUUUGCUUCAAUUUUACUAAAAGGUUGCAUUUUUGCUGAAACAAAAACUCAGUACAUCACUCAGUACUUGAACUCAGUUUCAAAACUUGACCACUAAAAUACUGUCAAUCAUUGCUACAAAUGCUUCGAAAAGCAUAUAAUAUAAUCCUCGUAGAACACAUUUGUAGUUUAUUCAUUUUCAUAUUCUAAUUGUUCUAUUAUUCCUAUGUGUUAGUACAAAUUAUUAUUUUAUACAUAAUUUUACAGUAGAUGGAGAAAGAAAAGAUUCUCAAAUCAAUUACCGACGUACGCGUCAUUUGCAGCCAAAUUCAUCCAUCGUUCGUUUUCGAUUAGAUGAUGAUCACUCUUCUCUAUCAGAAACAGAACCGUGAUGCGAUAACCAAAUGGAAUAUAUCGGUACCAAGUUGAACCAGAUCGUUAUUAUCAAGAGAAGAAGUGCAAGCGAACAGGAGUAUAAAAUAAAUUAAAAAAGAAAAACAAACAAAAAAACUGUGAUCUAAAUUGCCAGAAUUAUUAGAAUAUCUAAUCAGUCGUAAGAAAAACCGAUCAAAAAAUUAUGAUAAUCGAGAAAGAAAUAUAAAAAGAAACGCGAACCGGUGAGGAGAAGAAUUGGGUGUCAAAUAUUUUUAAAAGACUGAUCAAAAUUGUAUCGAACUUCAUCUGCAUUCAUUUUAAAAAUCCCAAUGUAUAUCUUCAAUUUUACAAGCUUAGAAGAACCAGAGAAGAAAAAAAAAAGAAAGAGUUAAAGUUCAACAGUUAUUUCAGCUCAUUGAAAAAUCUUUUGAUCAAUAUCAUUGUAGUCAUAUCUGCAUAAUUUAUAGUAAUUAUUUGAAUUCGAUCGACUGUAAUUUUUAUACUAUAGAUAUACCCAUAAGGUAAAAAUAUAUGUAAAUUAGAUAUAGAUAUAUGUAAAGAUUUUUAUGUAAAUUCAGUAUAUACGUGUUAAUCUGCAUAUGCCGAAAUAAAUGCAUUCUCAAUUCUUUAA